rnacentral:rRNA from 1 species
CCAAUAGCGUAUAUUAAAGUUGUUGCAGUUAAAAAGCUCGUAGUUGAAUUUCGGGGUUAGUAGGUUGGUCAUGCCUCUGGUAUGUACUGGUCUCACUGAUUCCUCCUUCCUGAUGAACCUUAAUGCCAUUAAUUUGGUGUUUUGGGGAAUUUGGACUGUUACUUUGAAAAAAUUAGAGUGUUUAAAGCAAGCUAACGCUUGAAUACAUUAGCAUGGAAUAAUGAAAUAGGACGUUCGAUCCUAUUUUGUUGGUUUCUAGGAUUGGCGUAAUGAUUAAUAGGGAUAGUUGGGGGCAUUAGUAUUCAAUUGUCAGAGGUGAAAUUCUUGGAUUUAUUGAAGACUAACUACUGCGAAAGCAUUUGCCAAGGAUGUUUUCAUUAAUCAAGAACGAAAGUUAGGGGAUCGAAGACGAUCAGAUACCGUCGUAGUCUUAACCAUAAACUAUGCCGACUAGGGAUCGGAUGAUGUUAAUUUUUUAAUGACUCAUUCGGCGCCUUACG